GCAGGGGACGGGGUGGCAGUAGAUGGUGGUUCCUCUAUACCUGCAGAGUCAGACGUGCUUCUGGUCAAUGCCACAUCUACUCCGACUCAUUCUCUUCUGGAUCUCCUUGCUGAUCAAGCGCUGGCUCGGGAGCAAUCUCUCUCAGUUUCCCAGGAGCUCCUAGCAGCAGCUGUUGCAAAAUACAAACAUUCAGUUCAGCGCUUGAGCUUUGGGGUGGACACCAAAAGUCCUCCCCUUCCUCCUCCUCCUCCUCAGUCCAGCCCAGUGGGUUUCCCAGUAAGCGGGGUGUGUCAGGUUGUUUUGCCCCAGCUGCUGCAGAUUGGAGACUUUGCCAGACACAUGGAUGCUGGCAAAAUCCAGAUCAUCUCUGAUGAUGCUGACAUUACUAUACAAUGAGAACACAUUGCAGAUUUACACACAAUGGGAGCAGGUUCCUUUGGAAACGGACUGGGCACAUAAUGGGAUUCUAACAAACAGCAGUGAGGAUCCCAAUUAUCUAACUUUUUGUCUAUAGCCAAAAGCUGUGACUCUCAGAUGAAGUUUGUGUGCUUUCUGUCAUUUUUACUUGUUUGUAUGAGUAUAUCAUCUGAGAUGGAAAGAAACUAAAGGUAAAAGUAAUACUAAUGGGUUUGACCCAUGAAGGGGAAAAGUGGCACUUUUACCAAUGAACAGAGAAAUUAACAUCUACCUUAUCUGUUUCUGAUCUUGACAUGUACUACCUGUGAUAAUGACUCUUUAACAUGUGUUUAAAAUGUAAAUGAUUUACUUUGAAUUAAUAAAUAAUAAAGAGCUUG